GCCAGGCGCAGUAGUGCACGCCUGUAAGCCCAGCGGCUGGGGAGGCUGAGGCAGGAGGAUCACAAGUUUGAGGCCAGCCUCAGCAACUUAGCAAGGCCAUGAGCAACUUGGUGAGACCCUGUCUCAA
rnacentral:sRNA from 1 species